rnacentral:rRNA from 1 species
CUUGGUGCUGCCAGAUGACGACCGGCGCACGGGUGCGUAACGCGUAUACAAUCUGCCUUGUACUGGGGGAUAGCCUUUGGAAACGAAGAUUAACACCCCAUAACAUCAUGAUAUCGCAUGGUAUUUUGAUUAAAGGUCACGGUACAAGAUGAGUAUGCGUCCUAUUAGCUAGUUGGUAUGGUAACGGCAUACCAAGGCAACGAUAGGUAGGGGCCCUGAGAGGGGGAUCCCCCACACUGGUACUGAGACACGGACCAGACUCCUACGGGAGGCAGCAGUGAGGAAUAUUGGACAAUGGGCGGAAGCCUGAUCCAGCCAUGCCGCGUGCAGGAAGACUGCCCUAUGGGUUGUAAACUGCUUUUGUACGGGAAGAAACACCACUACGUGUAGUGGCUUGACGGUACCGUAAGAAUAAGCAUCGGCUAACUCCGUGCCAGCAGCCGCGGUAAUACGGAGGAUGCAAGCGUUAUCCGGAAUCAUUGGGUUUAAAGGGUCCGUAAGUGGACUUGUAAGUCAGAGGUGAAAUCCUGCAGCUUAACUGUAGAACUGCCUUUGAUACUGCUAGUCUUGAGUCGUUGUGAAGUGGUUAGAAUAAGUAGUGUAGCGGUGAAAUGCAUAGAUAUUACUUAGAAUACCGAUUGCGAAGGCAGAUCACUAACAACGUACUGACACUGAUGGACGAAAGCGUGGGGAGCGAACGGGAUUAGAUACCCCGGUAGUCCACGCCGUAAACGAUGGAUACUAGCUGUCCGGCUUCGGCUGGGUGGCUAAGCGAAAGUGAUAAGUAUCCCACCUGGGGAGUACGUUCGCAAGAAUGAAACUCAAAGGAAUUGACGGGGGCCCGCACAAGCGGUGGAGCAUGUGGUUUAAUUCGAUGAUACGCGAGGAACCUUACCAGGGCUUAAAUGUAGAUUGCAUGGUUUAGAGAUAGACCUUUCUUCGGACCAUCUACAAGUGCUGCAUGGGUUGUCGUCAGCUCGUGCCGUGAGGUGUCAGUUAAGUCCUAUA